GAUGAAGAACGCAGCGAAAUGCGAUACGUAAUGUGAAUUGCAAAUUCAGUGAAUCAUCGAGUCUUUGAACGCACAUUGCACCCCCUGGUAUUCCGGGGGGCAUGCCUGUCCGAGCGUCAUUGCUGCCCUCAAGCACGGCUUGUGUGUUGGGCCCCGUCCUCCGAUCCCGGGGGACGGGCCCGAAAGGCAGCGGCGGCACCGCGUCCGGUCCUCGAGCGUAUGGGGCUUUGUCACCCGCUCUGUAGGCCCGGCCGGCGCUUGCCGAUCAACCCAAAUUUUUAUCCAGGUUGACCUCGGAUCAGGUAGGGAUACCCGCUGAACUUAAGCAUAUCAAUAAGCGGAGGA
rnacentral:misc_RNA from 1 species